rnacentral:rRNA from 1 species
AACGAACGCUGGCGGCGUGGAUAAGACAUGCAAGUUGAACGGUUGAUUCAGGGUAGCAAUAUUCUGGGUUAGCAGUGGCGUAAGGGUGCUUAACACGUGGGUAAUCUGCCGCGAAGUGUGGGAUAACUCGCUGAAAGGCGAGCUAAUACCGCAUGUGAUCUUCUUGAGGCAUCUCAAGGAAUUCAAACAUGGGUCGCAAGACCUGUGGUUUCGCGAUGAGCCCGCGGCCUAUCAGCUAGUUGGCGGGGUAAAAGCCCACCAAGGCUAAGACGGGUAGCUGGUCUGAGAGGACGACCAGCCACACUGGAACUGAGACACGGUCCAGACACCUACGGGUGGCAGCAGUCGAGAAUUUUUCACAAUGGGGGAAACCCUGAUGGAGCGACGCCGCGUGGGGGAUGAAGGGCUUCGGUUCGUAAACCCCUGUCAUUGGCGAACAAGUGUUGCGCUCUAAUACAGUGUAACUUGAUAGUAGCCGAAGAGGAAGGGACGGCUAACUCUGUGCCAGCAGCCGCGGUAAUACAGAGGUCCCGAGCGUUGUUCGGAUUCACUGGGCGUAAAGGGUGCGUAGGUGGUUGGUUAAGUUUGAGGUGAAAGCUCCGAGCUCAACUCGGAAAAUGCCUUGAAGACUAUCUGACUAGAGGAUUGGAGGGGAGAUUGGAAUUCUCGGUGUAGCAGUGAAAUGCGUAGAUAUCGAGAGGAACACCAGUGGCGAAGGCGA